rnacentral:lncRNA from 1 species
UCAAUCGAAUUCAACUUCAUUGGAUCAUGUAGGUUGCAUCUUUGUUCAUCAUCUAGGCUUCUAGUAUUACGAUUCUUAUACUUCUACAUCCCUUUGGAACUUAAUCGAGAUGAGUUCAAACAUAAAAUUAAAUAAUACAACAUGGGAGUAUUGAUUUGAGAAGUUUUUUAAAACAGUGACGUACUAAAUUUAAGAUUAAUCGAUAUAAAAAGAAGUAGAGUGGCCAUUUUAUAGAAUGAUAUUUUAAUCUAAUAAUCUAAUAAUAAAUAAUAGUCGUAGUAAUAAUAAUAAUAAUUAUUGAUAUGUUUGCACUUCAAAAGCUUCCAAAAAUAUACCUUUACAAUUUAUGGAUAAAGCUAUUAAAUGAUAUUCCCUCUCCUAUUUAACAACUCCAUCAAUAAUAAAUUUCAAAUAGUUAUGAUAAAGAAAGUAUUAAGUUAAAACACAUUGUCAUAUCAUAUAAUAAGGAGACACAACUACGUCAUCUUUUUUAUAUAAAAAAAAAAUUAAGAAUUUGAUUUAAUUUUAUUAACAAAAGGAAAUAAUGUGACAUACUUUUUAAGAAAAGAGUAAUAAUAUAUAUUUUUAUAUAUAUAAAGAUUAUUUUAAUAAUGGAUGAUCAUUAUUGCAUUGCUACUUGCCUUGGUGAUUUGGAUGUUACAACAAUGACGACGUGCAAUAUGGGACACCAUUAUUUCCCUAUUUAUUCAUUUUCUUAAUCUCUUUUACUAAUUAUUAAAAAAAAUAAAAGUUAGGCUACUUUGUAAAUUCAAUCAAUGAUUUUUAAUAAUUCUUGUAUCUAUCGUAUUCAUAAGUUAGGGAAACAAAAUUAAUUUUUUUACCGUAAAAUUUUCCAAACUAAUAAUUAUAAGCAUUACAACGUCCAACUUUCAACCUCAAUUUAUCCUGAGGAUCAUAAUUUUUUUAAUUGAUUUCGAAUUUAUGUCGGAUGGUAACAUUUUAGAAUCUAUCUACCGGUACACUUCUUAUAAAAAAAAUGUAUUGUUUAAAAUUUUUGUUAUAUAUUAUAAAUAUUUUUUUUUAUUUGAGCGUAUAUUUAAAAGUAAAUCUAGUUAAAAGAUAGAAUAUAUUAAUUGAUCUUUAUUAGGAUUUAAUUAGUUUAGGAGUGUAGUAUGAUAUUUUUUAACAAGACAAAAGAUAGUCUCUCUCCAAUCUUUGUGUGAUCCUCAAACCUAUCUGUUAAAAAUACAUAAUGGUGUGCAUGCUCAUCACUUGAGUUGGAAUAACAUUAUUAAAUUUUAAUUUUCAAUCUUCAUUAAUAUUUGUUUUAUAGAAAUAUUGAACUUGAAUCGCUUUAUUUUAUUUUAAAUAUGUACGUAAAUAAUUAAAUAUAUAAGUUUAAUUUAGAGUGAGGUAUAAUUGUAACUUUUUAGGAAUUAUUUUGACCAACUUUCAAUCUUCAAUGUUUGAAACUUUUAUGUCUUGUACUUAACUACUGUACAAAUUAAUUUAAUUUAUGUUUGUAACUUUGUAUGACUUUUAUUUAUGGAUAAUGUUUAUAAAAGAGUUUGAUUCUAAUAUUUAUGCAUAAACGAUUCUGUUUCGAUUCCAUUUUAUUUGUACAUAAGUGGAUUUAAUUUCUAUUUGAUUUGACACAGAUGAAUGGUUUUUUGUAUUUUUUGGUUCGGUGCAGUUUUGGCUUCAAACGAACAAUGAACGUCUCUAAUUGCUGAUAUGUUGUAUUAUUUAUCGACUACGAGAAUUGAAUCUAAAUUUUGUUAUAUGUGCAAAUUCAAAUUUACUUUUGCAGUGGGUUAUAUUUGCUAAUAUUUUGUGUUAAUUGCUAUGUUUGCAACUUCUUUUUUUUAGUGAUCUCUUUCUCUCAUGUUCGUUGAUGCUAAACUAUUUUAACACACUCUCUUGUGUAAAUAUAAAAAGAAGUGUGAGGUCUUCGCUAUUUUUUCAACUUCUUAUCCUCUAAAUGGUUUUCUAUGUUUGUUUUAGGGGAUGUAAUAUAUUUUAGUUUGUCCGUCUUUCGUUAUUUUUUUAGUAUCUUUUGGUUUACUUAUAUUUCAACAGGAAGGGAGAAAUACAAAUUAUCGAAAAUAACCAAUUUGAAUAUAAUUGAGUGAAUAAGAUAUCAAUCAAUAUCAUUUCAAAUCGAUUACCUAUCUCAAAUUUGUAGAAAAGAAAAAUUGAAGAAGACAAAAUCAAUAACUAAUUUUGUAAUUUUUAAAAAAUAGAAUUAAGGGUGAGCAUGAUAACCAAAAAAAUCAACCAAUUCUAAGUUGGUCGAUUGGGAUCAGUUUUGAAAAGUCUGAAAUCGAAAAUUUUCAAAAAGUAUUUUUAAGUGUUAAACCGACCCAACCAAACAAAAAUCGACAAAAACCAACCGACCUUUACUCAUGAAUAUCGAGGUUGGUUUGAACAUUUAAUUAAACCAAUUAUGGUUAGUUCGGUGACGAUUUUGUCAAAAAAAAAAAAAACAACCCCGACCGAUAAUCACCUAGAUUAUAUGUAUAAGAAUGUUUUAUUUAGGUAACCAAUGCCACGUAGGUUGAGAAUAAAAUUUGUCUUGUCUUGAUUCUUGUUGGAAAAGCCACCAUUUUAUUUAUGUAAUUUUUUUUUUAAUUAAUGGUUAUUCUCAUUAUUUUAUUGCAUAGAUAUUCUCAAACUUCUUUCCUUAGGCCUCCAAGUGGCAUCAUUUUGUGCUUCCAUGACUUUCUCUCUCUAAUAUUUGACUUAGUUUCAUGAGAGAGAUACUUUGUAAUUACUUUCUUACCCUUCCUCCUUUAUUAUUGUUCCUACUCAUUCUUUAACCCUCAAAACAUAACUCUUUUUUGCCUUAACCUCACUUUUUCUCUACAAAAGUAUGAAUUAUUCAUUGGCAAAAGUGGAGUCAUAUAAUCAUUAUAAUUUGGCCAAUUUUGUUAGUACAACCCUAUUAUAAUUACCCUUAACUUCAACCUUUUAUCUACUAUCAAUAUGUUAUCGGAAAACAAAGAUUCUUUUUCUUCCAUGAAGUCAACUAGAAAGAAGAGUUUCAAUCUAUUAUUGAAAGUAGUUGGUUUAAAACUAUUGAUUUUGGUUACUUCAACUUUCUUCUAUGGAAUAUGAAUACAUUUGAUCCAUAAAAAAUGUUAAUUUUUAAUCAUCAUUGUUUGAUUUUUUGUAUACCAAUACAUCGGUUUGACUUUUCUUUUCCAUAAGAACUGUAGUCAUAUUUGUUGUUUUUCUAGAAUGAAUCUCUAUUUUAUUGAUAAUUUAGUAGGGGUAUAAACCUAAAUAUACUCACGAGAGGAAUAUACUUAAGAAAAGAAUACUUCAAUACCCUCCCUCAAACUCAAGGUUCGAAUCACGAACUUGAGUUUGCUAAUAACUAAGAAAACUAGAAUAGAAUUAGAAACGCUGAGAGAACAAACAUAAAGAAACUAAAACAAAACUUAAGCAAAAUUGAUAUGAGCGAAACUGACCUAGAGGGUUAGUGGGUCUGAGCGUCGACGACAGUAUGAGUUUCACGGAUCUGGAUUGACAGGAGACAGACAGAUAGAUGGAACGACGUCGUCAUUCAUUGACGAGCGGUGGUUCUGAAGGUCAAAAGAGCAAAGAUGCAAAUAUGUGAGGGGAUUCGUUUGUAGAUCUAAACUGGUACAGAUCAGAUGUGAGCGAAGAUGCGACAAAUAUGUGGAUCGAAAGGGCAACGGCGGAUUGGAGGGGCGACAACAAAUCUGAGAAAAGAAGAAGCGGCGACGAGUUGUAGAUUUAAAGGCGUGGAUGGCAGAUCUGACGGCAUAAGGUUUUUGAAACAUAUGGACAAUGACUAUACAAUAGAAAAUUCAGGAUGGUUUGCUUCCAUCAACGAAUGAUCAACUAAGGCAGACAAACGGGAUGCAAUGGCUAGACUACAAUGAGACCAAG